rnacentral:lncRNA from 1 species
AUGAGAAGGCACAGCCAUCACAGCAGAGCUGGGGACGUGGGGACGUCCGUCAGCCUCCAGGGUGAGGCACACACUGCAUCUGGACCCUGUGCAGUGAGGCGUGUGCUAUCCGAGGCUGGCCGUGCCCGACUCCCUGCACAGGGGGCUCGUGCCCUGCCCACCACAGAGCCGCCCCACCAGGGCGGCGGUCCCCUGCGACGGAGGGCCCCCCACGCUGCCGGCCGUCGUGUCCACAUGCCUCCGCCAAGUCACACCCAGCCCCAGCAGAAACGUCUACAGAGAGCGCAGGAGUUUCCAACUGUGGGAAGUGGAUACUGGCGCCUGUUGACUCAAAUUCUUCUUAAUUUUUAUUUUUCCAGCCGCUGCGAGACUCCCCGAAUAAUUCUCUCAGGUCUUCUGAUGAGCAGUUGCCAUUUUCCCUUUCAGAAAACUGGGAGAGGAAGGACCCGGGCAGACCCUGGCGGCAGUGGGGGGCAGAGCCGGCCUGUCCCCGGCCUCUCCCGCCUGCGGCCUUGGUCCCUUCCGGGGAAGCGAUUUGACCGCAGAGCCGAGUUCUCCACCUGCUCCAGGCACGUCAGAGGGGCGCCCUCACCGUGCUACAGACGGACGCUCGCCCCUCAAGGAGUCACCCCAAGUCACACGCCUGCUCUCACCGCCCAGAGUCUCUUACAUCCCCAAAUCCUGACUUUGUCGUCCGCCCCCGCCCCCCCGCCCAGGGCUGUCGGCACCACACGUGGCCUCCUUUUCGGGACCUACUGGGCGCCAGUGGAUUAGAAGCCACGCAGGAGACGGAAGUUUCAGGUUAGUGGGAAAACCCCUGGCUUUUUUGAAACACUGUCCUUGCGCUUAAUUUUAAUUUCCAGACCCUGGAAAACAUUGCCUAUGUGAGAAUGGACCACAGUCACCAGUCGGCCGCCAGGAGAGUGACAGGCUGGCUUCCUCUCCCAACUCAGGUUCCCAGACACGACACCACAGGGGCCUCGGGCCGCGUCCGCCUGGGCGGGUCGCACUGAGAUUUCGUCUGGGAGCCGAAGGUUCCCGGGGGGGCGGAGGGGGGGAUGCCCGGGGGGGGGCGGAGGGGGGGAUGCCAGGCGCGGAAGGACCGCCGAGUGGCUGAAUUAGAUCCUUGAUUUCAUCAGCUGCCUUGGGUUGGCUGUGAUCCUCUUUCGUCAAAAGGAAGCCUCGGUUUCCCUCAUUUUGACUGUCGGGCUGAAACAGCAGCUUAACAGAAACACCCAAGCGUCACGACAACACACUCUGUAAAAAUGGGGCAAGAGCAAGACAGGACUCCCUGCAGAGGCGCUCCCCCUGCACAGGGACUGAGACCCAGGGGACUUCAAAACAAGGCCCCUUUCAACUAAGAGGACAAGCAUUGCCUGCGUACGCCAGACACGGGGCCUCUCGCACACAGGGCACUGGAACAGAUCACGCUCCCCAGUGCGGGAAGCUCACUGUUUCUUAGAAUAGCCAUCCAUAAAGUUAGCUUUGUGGCUUACAAAAAAGGACCAAGUCAUGGAUGUGAAGAAACGCCCGCCUUUGGACGCCCACCGAGCUUUCCCACGCGGGGCGCCCUCGGCCCCUGUGUGGGGGCCUCUCAGGUCCACGCCCGCUGCCAUGUGACCUUUUCGAGCUCCCGCUCCCUCGGCCAGGUCGUCUGUUUUCCCUUCAUUGUUCUGCUACUUCUAACUGCAGUUUCAAAGAUUACACGACUGCCCCAAAGACCCCGAGCACGAAACUGAAGCAUUUCAGGAAGGUGGUUGACCCGCCGCUAGGCCAGAGCUGUGGCUAAAUCUCUGCCUUCGCUGGACUUUGGCAGAAGAUUUUUAAAUCUGCAAAAGAUGUCACACAAUUGGAUUUUACUUGACGUGAUGACAACUUCAUUAAAAUAUUUAAUUAAUAAAAUAUUUAAGAAAAAAAUGUGGCCCCCAAAAAGUGUAUUUUGGGAGUUCCCAUUGUGGCACAGUGGUUAAUGAAUCCGACUAGGAGCCAUGAGGUUGCGGGUUCAGUCCCUGCCCUUGCUCAGUGGGUUAACGAUCCAGCAUUGCCGUGAGCUGCUUGCGGUGUAGGCUCAGAUCCCGCGUUGCUGUGGCUCUGGCAUAGACUGGUGGCUACGGCUCCGAUUAGACCCCUAGCCUGGGAAUCUCCAUAUGCCACGGGAGCGGCCCAAGAAAUAGAAAAAAAAAAAAAAGUGUAUUUUGAAGAAAAUGUAAGAUUCCACCAAAAGUAGAAGCAGCUUCAGAACCCACUGGAUUUUUUUGUUUCCUUAUAUACCUUUUCUUUAAAAAAAACAACAAAAACAAAAAACAAAACAAACAAAAAACAAAAACAAAAAACGCUGCCAAUUAGAUGGAUUUAAGAUUCAACCAAGGCAUUUUUUUUUUAUUCAAAGGAUACCGUUGUGGUUUGAGGAGGCGCGGAUUUAGAGCAGAAAUC